CUUUUAGAGGCCGGUGCCUAAGGUAAAAUCGAUGACUGGGAUUAAGUCGUAACAAGGUAGCCGUAGGAGAACCUGCGGCUGGAUCACCUCCUUUCUAAGGA
rnacentral:rRNA from 1 species